UCAAGCAAUUCUCCCUCAGCCUCCCGAGUAGCUAGGACUACAGCAAGGGAGACAGUGUCUAGAGGCAGUCAUCUAGCAAGAUGGAGACUUACAACAUGAGGCACAUACAAGAGUGACCUCCCAUCGUCUUUGAGGCAUUCUAUUUCUUGUGUCUUUGUGAAGCUUCCUAUCUUUGCUUUUCAACUAAGAUGAAACAGCAUUUAAAAGAAAAUGCCAUGUGAGAUGAGAUCAGGAGAAUGGAUUCUUUCUUUCAUCUGAAUAGAGAGCUGCUGUUCGAGAUUCUAACUCAAAUAGCUCAAAGGACACCUUCUCCGGGAAACCUUCCCUGACUUCCGACGCUGUUUCCUGUUUUGCAGGAAAGAAUACACAAGCUCAGAAUCUCUUGGGCUGAGUGACAAAGGAGGAAAAGGGAUGGUUCCAAGUAGGAUUGGAGCUUCUGCUUCCUCACUUCCUCACGUAGCUCCAUCUGCCUCUUCAGAGAGCUCCCAUCUCCCACUGUGUGCAGCUGAGUUCCAAGCACUCCUGGCGGCAUAAUGACUGGGACAAAGAUAUUUCCUGCAGUUGUCAAUGGUGCUCCUAUACUGAAACUCUCCUAGGAACUUGGCCAAAUCUUCCUGCUCCCCAUCCCUGAUUUCUGUGAACAAGAGGGAAGACUUUGUCACACUUCUCAUUGGUGAUCAUAUUAAUUUCUAGGCCAUGUGUAUCUAGAUAUGAAAUAAUAUUUCUGUUAUUUUAAAAUAUAAGAUCCUUGGAAGAUGUCAUCUAUUGGAACAUGUAACUAUAUAGCCAGAAGAGGAGAUCACUAGAGCCAGACUGCUCUGUCUACAUACUUAAAAAGACAUUUGGAGGAAGAGAGCAUCUGCAAAUGUUGAUGAAAAUGGGUUUGGAACUUCUCUUUUGAUCAGGAAAUAGGUAGACCAUAAAAUGUCUGAUGCAUGUUGCUGCCUGAAGCAAACCCACAAUCUGGAACCCAGUCAUCUUGUUGCUCUAGAAAGCAUCAAGAGAAAAUGGAAGAAGGCUUAAAAGGCCCAUCACAUUUUAAUCUCUAUGGUUGGAUUAAUCAAAAGUUUUCAUAGUUUUACUAAAGAAAAAUGAGUGGUCAUUUAUACUUCAUCUCUAACAAGAAACUUUUUUGUCCAGUGCUCAAAAAUACAUAUGCUAUUAUGCUAUAGUUUCCUUAUGACUUGUUUUGUUUUCUAUAGUUGAUUGUGAGCCUCCAAAGGGCAUGGAGCUAUAUGGUAUGAUUCUUUGCUCCUCAGGCAUUUUCUUGCUCAGGAGACAUACCUAACAUGUUUUUACUUAAUGAUAAAGGUGGUAUGAAUGCAUCAUCAAUAACAGAAGCUUAGAGCUAGAAGUAAAUGUUUAAUCAUUUACUUUUGCUUGUUUUUCUUUUCCUUUUUUUUUUGCAUUGUCUACUUUAAGACCCACAUAUUACAAAUAAGAAGCAUUAAAAGUCGUUAGUGUCAAGAUCGGGGACAUGAAUUAGGUCUCUUGAUUCUAAAGAUGAUUACAGUAAUAACAGAAAAGGCUUUCUCAUCAAGCAGUGUAACUCAGUGGAACAAGCUUCAGAUUGAGCAGUGGCAAUGUGGUUUCGUGGACAGGCACUGGCUGGGAGCUUGGAUCUCAUUAUUGUGGGUUCAUCUCAGUCAUGUGUUGACCUGAGGUGCAGGUGGCUCUAUUGGGAGUCAGCCAGCUGUGGAUGGUAACCACACAUGACCAAAAUGAGUCUUCAGAAGCUAUCACUUGAACACAGCAACGACACUGGGCACUACUAAGAAGGAGGGAGGAAGUGGACCAAGGGCUGAAAAACUAACUAUUGGGUCCUAUGCUUAGUUCCUG
rnacentral:lncRNA from 1 species